UUACAUUUAAGUGAAGAACAACAGUGAUAAAUCCAUUAUCUUGAAAAUAUUCUGGUCAUAAAAAAUAUUUGACGAGAGAGUCAACAAGAUCAUGUUGUUAGGAAAAUGUUCCAAGAGUCUGUGUUCUUUUGCUACUCGCUAUUCUUUUCCUGUUUCGAUGUUUCAUUUAUCUCUUCAUAUGAGUUUUAAAAACUUUUUCCUUGGAGAUUUUCAUUCUUCAGUCCUCCGAUGUCGUAUCUACAUGUUUUAUAGAGUUGCUUUUAUAUAUUCCUCACCCUGGAUUUGAAAUACCAAGUGUCAGUCACUCUUAAUUUUAUGCUGAUCUGAGAUCUCCAUGUUGAACAUCAUAUUUUUACUUGUUUUGUUCAUAGAUUUUCCAGUUGCACCACACUUUAAAAUCAUUUGAAUUUUAUCAAAUUUUAAAUUAUAUUAUAUCUAGCUUUGAAGUUUUAUGGAAGAAAAUAUUUAGGUACAGAACAUAUGGCACAGUAAAAUCAAUUUUUUUUUUAUUAAUUUUGACAAAGACCAAAUGGAGAAUUGAGAUUCUGCACUCCUCUUGUGAACCAUUGCGGAAGGCAAGGGUACUACAAAAAGAGAAUCGUUUACCUCGGAGCCAAUUUUUCAAGACCAUUCCUUGUAGUAAUUUUAUGUCAAUAUGGUUAGUGAAUUAAAUAUUGAUUAUUUUGAGGCUAUAUUGUUUACUUCAACUAUUUUUUUUUCCUUAUAUCUUUGAGUUUGUUUACCUACUUAAAUUCUUAUAUACGUUUUCUACUAAUUUUUAGUAAAGAUUAAGUUCAAAAGAAUGUAACAUAAUGAAAAAUUGUUGUAAUUUGACGUCGAACUUACUGCUUCCCUUUGUUUACUUCAACUAUUUUUUUUUCCUUAUAUCUUUGAGUUUGUUUACCUACUUAAAUUCUUAUAUACGUUUUCUACUAAUUUUUAGUAAAGAUUAAGUUCAAAAGAAUGUAACAUAAUGAAAAAUUGUUGUAAUUUGACGUCGAACUUACUGCUUCCUUUUUAGCUAUGUCUUACCUCUUGUGCCAUUGUGAUUGCAAUCACUGCCUAAUAUAAGAAGAAAGUGAUGGUAAAUAGUCAAUAUAUGGUCAUUUCAUGCAAGAAUGGAUGCAGAAGCUUAGGCAGAGUGUGUACUUUGCGUUGGAAGGGUUGCACCUAGCCGUUAAGUUGGUUAGGUUUUAUUUAAGAAGAAUAGUUUCAUGUUGCUCAGUUUAGUCCAAUAGGUUUUAAAGUUGUUUCUAUUAUUAUCAAAAUUGCCCGAUAUGUUUGAGCAUUGGAUACUUUAGGUCCAAUUGCUGGCCACUUAUGCUUCUAUUUAAGUAUUGUAUUUGUCCUUGUUGAAUUGAAGCAGAGAAUUGUUUAGCUAAAUAGAGCAUAGCUUGUUUCUUACUCUUUUUCUUUUCCUUUCUUUCUUUUCUUAGCUUCUUACUCUUCCAUUACUGUCUUAUUACUUUUCAAUGUUGUCCUUAGCUUAAUUGUAUCAUCAUUCUUGAUUGUAUGAUUUGUAUCCAUAAGUCAUUUUGAAUCGUGAAAUGAUUAUCAGUUAAGAACAAAUUUUAGAGAGGAUUUAGUUAGCAUGCUUAUGAAGUCGUAAAGUCUUAAACCUUUCCCAUCAUAAAAAAGUUAUGGUCGCUUUUUGGGAGUUUUCCGCUGAAUCAUAUGCUUCAUUUAAGGGAGAUUUGAUUUGUCUAUAUUUGAUCCUUCAAUUUCUUAUGUUUAUCUCUUAUGUCUAUUAUAAUUAUUAAAGUGUUCAUUUGAUAUAUGCAGAUGGAAGGCCUUGGAUUGUGUAGCUCUUAGAAAGAGUUGUGUCAUUCUUCAAGGAUCACAAAGGUUCGAUAUACUUAAUAAAAUCUUUUUUUUAAUUAUUUGCUAUGCUAUGUAAUUUUUAUAUCUAUUUGUCACGGUUGUUGCCUUUUUAGGGGGCUAUUGGUUUGAGUUAAAUGACAAUCAUCAUGUUAAUAAAAAAAUUCUCUCGGAAUUACUUUGAUAAAUUAUUUUAGAAGGUCAUUUUAUUCUUGAAAUACCAAUGAUUGUGAGAUGGAUUCUUUCUCCUAAAUUCUAAUGAUGUGUAUAUUGAUCAAUAACAUCAUAUGGGCACAACUUAGAUUUCUACUAUGACUGGUAUAAUUUAAAAAUUAAAGCCCUACCUUCUUUUACCAAGUAAUGUUAUUGCAAGAUUUUACGCUCUCAAAGCUGACAUACUACAUGAUCUUCUUUUUCAUUGAAGGUUUGGUGUUAGAUAUGUCAAAUAAAUAUAUCUUUAAGUUCAACAACAACCAUGAUAGUAAGUGCGAUAUUGUUGUGUCGGAAAAUGCGUAUGCGAAUGUUUAAUAUU
rnacentral:lncRNA from 1 species